AGUGGAAUUAUUGGAUCAUAUGGUAACUCUAGCUUUUAGAGAAAUUACCAGACUAUUUUCAAAAGUGGCUGUACCAUUUUGAAAUUCCACCAGCAAU
rnacentral:pre_miRNA from 17 species